rnacentral:rRNA from 1 species
GACGAACGCUGGCGGCGUGCUUAACACAUGCAAGUCGAACGGAAAGGCCCUGCUUUUGUGGGGUGCUCGAGUGGCGAACGGGUGAGUAACACGUGAGUAACCUGCCCUUGACUUUGGGAUAACUUCAGGAAACUGGGGCUAAUACCGGAUAGGAGCUCCUGCUGCAUGGUGGGGGUUGGAAAGUUUCGGCGGUUGGGGAUGGACUCGCGGCUUAUCAGCUUGUUGGUGGGGGAGUGGCUUACCAAGGGUUUGACGGGUAGCCGGCCUGAGAGGGUGACCGGCCACAUGGGGACUGAGAUACGGCCCAGACUCCUACGGGAGGCAGCAGUGGGGAAUAUUGCACAAUGGGCGGAAGCCUGAUGCAGCAACGCCGCGUGCGGGAUGACGGCCUUCGGGUUGUAAACCGCUUUCGCCUGUGACGAAGCGUGAGUGACGGUAAUGGGUAAAGAAGCACCGGCUAACUACGUG